rnacentral:snRNA from 1 species
AGCAUUGCGAUGGUCCCU